rnacentral:rRNA from 1 species
AUUGAACGCUGGCGGCAGGCUUAACACAUGCAAGUCGAGCGGAGUGAUGGUGCUUGCACUAUCACUUAGCGGCGGACGGGUGAGUAAUGCUUAGGAAUCUGCCUAUUAGUGGGGGACAACAUCUCGAAAGGGAUGCUAAUACCGCAUACGUCCUACGGGAGAAAGCAGGGGAUCACUUGUGACCUUGCGCUAAUAGAUGAGCCUAAGUCGGAUUAGCUAGUUGGUGGGGUAAAGGCCUACCAAGGCGACGAUCUGUAGCGGGCCUGAGAGGAUGAUCCGCCACACUGGGACUGAGACACGGCCCAGACUCCUACGGGAGGCAGCAGUGGGGAAUAUUGGACAAUGGGGGGAACCCUGAUCCAGCCAUGCCGCGUGUGUGAAGAAGGCCUUAUGGUUGUAAAGCACUUUAAGCGAGGAGGAGGCUCUUUUGGUUAAUACCCAGGAUGAGUGGACGUUACUCGCAGAAUAAGCACCGGCUAACUCUGUGCCAGCCGCCGCAGUAACAC